rnacentral:lncRNA from 1 species
UGCUGCUCUUUCUUCUCCCUACCUCGCUGCUGCUCUGCCCUUUGCUAUUGUACCUCUCCUUCUCCAACUCGCCCCCUGCUGAUCUUCUCCAUCACCUACACCAUCUACAGCUGCAAGCCUGAAGAUUGACUGGGAAUUAAUCUUUGAAUCUCUCCCUUCUCUUGCUACUGUACUCUAAAUUUUCUGUAAUAGGAGUGGUGUAGGACUUGUAAGGUUCAGAUUUUGAUAAGUGUUUGAAACCAAUUAGUUUGUUCAGUUCAUACUUGUUAAAUAUCAUGUCAUGAAUUCUAUGUUCUGAAUAGUGGAUUUCUUUUCUUUCGAAACAAAGUGAUGUCUAACAUUUUGUCUUGGUAAUUAGUGUUCUGCUAGAACUUAUGCGUGUUCACCCUUUGUAUUUUAAUUCCAGUUCAUGUAUGUGUUGUCACAGUGUGUUCCCUUUUCUGUAGAAAUAUAUUCAGUUUUGUAGUCGAUGUAUUAGUUCAAGUUCUUGUGAGAUAAAUGUGUGUGAUUUAUAUACAUAUGUGUGUGUCUUUGAUAUGAUACAUAUAUUCUAUCCUACAACCUUGUUUCUUCCCUCUGUUCAUGUUUGAUAGUUAUAUAUGUGUCCUUGUCAUGUUACAUUCAUGUCCUUUUACUUCUGUUGUCAUUGAUGUCAGCUUGUGUUAGUAUUUUAGUUUCUCAAGUUUUAUGAAUAUACCAAAAAGACAGAGAAUAUAAUCUGAAUCUCCCUUUGCUUAUUUUCAUUUACUUUGUCGUCGAUUUUCCGAAACGAUCUUAGAUACUUUAGGUUUAUUUUCCCUGUAUUCGUCACUUAAAUUGUCUAGCCUAGCUUUAGCUGAGCAUAGUCACUGUCACCUAGUCCCUGUGGAGAACAUGACACAUCCGUAGUUUGGGCGCAAAAACCCUGCUAUAUUACACCUGAUCAUUUUGGCGCCGUUGCCGGGGACUAGAGUCGUGCGACCGUGUUAGGCUAUAGACUAGGUUUUUCUUGUUUUUCCCUUUGUGCUAUAUAUAUGUGAUAUAUCUCUAACCCCUAACCCUUGUUCAAGUUAUUUUCUCUUUCUUUGCUUGGUCAUUCUGUAGGUUAUUGCAUCUUCUCAGAUAUGGCUUACUAUUUAGAUCAUCAUGCUUUUGCGAGCAACACUACAAACAGCACGGAAAGUAUUCAAGACUUGAUAAGUAAGAUUUCCCAUCGAUUAGAUGAUUUAGCUCAGCAGCGAGAAAUAGUUUUUGAGGAUAGGCCUAGCUCUUAUGAUCCUUAUUCUAGAGGCUAUCCUUAUGUUGCUCCUACCUGCCAUAUUUGUGGAUUUCAGGGCCAUUCGCCCGCUGAAUGUCAGCAUGGUUACUCUCACCCUCCAAAUUGUUUUGGCAUGAGCUUCGCUCAAGAGCAUAGCUCAUACCAAAGCAAUUACUCACAUGGGUGGCCUAAAAACCCGAAUAUGUCAUAUAGGAGCAACAACCCUGAGAUCUCAUCGUUUGCCUCUAGUUAUCCAAUGCAGGGAUUUAGGUACAAUGAUGAGAGCAACAACAAUGCUAUUCACCUCCUACUCAUAUACCUCAACACCAGGAGAUGUUGCCAGUGGAGUUAAAUGGUCCUCCAUUUGGUCAACCAACACCUUCAACACAAGUGCCCACACAAGAUGAUUUUGAUGAUAUAGACAAGCUCACAUUGCUUAGUCUCGAGUUCACUUGGAGUGCUGAAGAUGAUCCAAUGAGGCCGGUGAUACUAGAGGAAAUGAAGAAGAUCAAGAGUGGAAAAGAGCUAGUGGAAGAAGUAAGGAAGAUUGAGAAGAACAUCAACGCUGGCAGUACUAUCUCCUCCCUCCUUGAGCUGAGUGUUGCCAAGAUUCCCCUUGAUACAUGUGAGGUUCCAAUACCGUCACAUCCAGCUGAGCAAGAUAGUAAGAGUCCAGAGGAAGAAAGACCUCAGAUUGAAGAAGAAAUACUUGAAGACAAGGAACAACAUGAUCCAGAGCUCGAACAACAAAGUGAUCAAGUUGAAGACUCAUCGUCUAUUACUCUUGAAGAAGCAAAACAAGUUGAUGUGAUUGAAGAUGAAGAACCGGAAAUGCAUUUGCCCAUCGUCAUAUAGGAGCGUGAUUUAGCAGGUUUAUCCAAUCCUCUUGAUGACAUGCUUCCUUAUGAGAUCUUUGUUGUUACUUUGCAUUGCGUUAUACCAUCAAUUAAGCUAGAUUUGAAAAAUUAUUUGCUUGGACAUGAUCAUACAUACACUUUUGGUGGCAUUGCUCUCAUUCCCGAUGAUGACACUUAUUUUCCUUAUGCUAGUCCUAUGCUUAAUGAAACAUAUUAUUCCCAUACUAGUCUUGAGCUUAAUGAUAAAUUUCAUCCUCAUGUUAGUGUCGACCUUGCUGAUUUCUACCAUCCUAAACAUGUGCUUUAUAGCUAUGCUUAUGUAAUUGGAUAUUCGAUUGAUGAUUUGGAGGGUAUUAUCCCUACCACUUGCAUUGUCUCUUUGGUUGAGUGCCUUUUCAGGUUUUUGCUUGUGCACGAAUCAAUACAUGUUGACCAGGUUCGAGGUGACAUUCCUUGGGACCCUGGUGGACUCAGAGCAUGGGGAUGAGGAGAAGCAAGGGGGCACACACGAAGAAGAGUGAAGCUGGACCAUCCAUGAGGAAGCAAAAGGAGAAGAGCUGCAGCUUAGAGAAUGAUCAAGAGAGUGCUACAUCAUCAAAGCCCGGUGAGCUGUUUCAUGACCCAUUCCGAGUAUAUCAUCCAUUGAUACAUGCUGAAAUCAAAUGUUAUUUGGGUUGCUUAUUAAGCCAUUUCUUAAAUGUUGCCCCACCGAAUUUUAUUUGACAUAUGGUGCUUGAUGAGAAUAUGCGAACCGAUUGUUGAAUGCCAUGUAAACUAGUGAUCUACAUAUUGCGUGCUUUGCUAAAAUUAGUGAGAACUAUUAGUUUUGAGUGCUCAAAUCCCUAGUACACUAGAAAACUUAAUCAUUUUUUGCUUUUACCUCGAUACACCUAGAUCAUUAAGUGUCAGAUGCUGAGUUUGUGCCUAAUGUGUUCCCAUUCAGAGCAAUCACUUACCACUAUGGAUUAGCAUGAUAUGUUCUCUGGAUCGGUAGCAUGUGAACCAGACCUGGUUGAGUGAUGAUUCUUGUGUUUGUUCAUUAAAAUAGGCAUAUCUUAUAGUGUAUAAUUAUCUGAUCUACCUAACAGUAGCAUGUCAUGUUCCCUGGAUCGGUGGCUUGUGAAAUCUGGUUGGAUCGGAUAUGAGUUAAUUAUAUUAAAAAAAUGUAAUUGUCGAACCAGGUGUAUACCAUGUUCUCGGGAUCGGUGGUAUGUUCCUUUGGGGAGACAAACUAAAAAAAUACCAAUAAUUGGUCGAGCCAGGUGUAUACCAUGUUCUCGGGAUCGGUGGUAUGUUCCUAUGGUGAGACUAAUAAUAAUAAUCAUUGCUUUAUUUCAGUAAAUAAGUGAUUUGAUCACAAGAUUUAAUUCAAGUUCCUUUUGUUCUCAAGAUCAUGCUCUCUUUAGGAACCUUUGGCAUAAUCAGCAUUUGAACCUGCUAAUCUUCUUGCAUCAUUGUAAAAGUUGAAAAUGAUCGAGUCUACUAGUAUCCUAUUGCUUUGUAGCACUCUUAACCAUUGAUUUUCACUAGCUAAGUCCAAAGCAUGCGAUGUUUGGAGAUCUACUUUACUGGGACAUUCUCUAGUCAGCUCACUGUUCACCAUCUAGCUCUUGUCAUUUGCCUUUACUUGAGGACAAGUAAAGAUUUAAGUGUGGGGGAACUUGAUAUGCACAUUUCAUAUAUAUAAUUUUGGCAUACAAUUAUACCAUUCAUUGGGUUAUGCCCAUCUAUUCUUCCUAAGUUUAGUUGAAUAUUUGCAUGAAAAUCAUAUAAUGAAUCAUUUACUAGUCAUUGUGUUUCUUUUGCAGAAAAGUGCGCAAAGGCACUAUAAACUUCAAGAUCCAGACUAGUGGCUAAGAGAAUGAAGAGGAGGAGGAAGAAUGGACUUGUGCGAGAAGAAAAGAAGUUACCAGGGGCAAGCUAAAGAAGUAGGAGGAUCUUCUUGUGAAGAAAGAAGAGAAGUAAGAUGGCCAAAUCAUAAAGUGCAGAUAAGAGGAGGGGAACAAAAUCCCUAGGCGCUGGAGGGAUCCAAUGGGGCCUGGCACAUCUCCCUCUCGUCUCCUUCUCCACCUUCGGCCGCCGCCACAGCCAGGCCGGUGUGGGGCGCGCCACCGCUCCACCGCGCCCUCCGUCCACCAGCACCUCCAUAUACCACCAUCCAUCCAAUCCAUCACCACCUCGCGCCGCUGCACCAUCCAUCAGCGCCACCCAUUCACCACCAUCGCUCGCGCGCCCUACUAGACCAGGGGUCUGGUGCCCCGCGCGACCUUGCCUUCUGCCACUGCCUUCUUCCUCCCCUGCCUCGCUGCUGCCCUUCUUCUUCCCCUCGCUGCUCCUCCACCUCUCUCCUCCUCCUUCAAUCCCUUUGUUGCCGCUCUUCUUCUACCGCGCCCCCUUGCUGAUCUCUCACGCUGCUACAACUCCCCUCAUCAUGUUGUUGUUUCCUUCUUCUCCCGUCGCUGCUCUCUUCUUCCUUUGCCUCUAGUUGAUGCUCCUAAUCUUCUCUAAACCCCAGCCUGCUGCUCUUUCUUCUCCCUACCUCGCUGCUGCUCUGCCCUCUACUGUUGUACCUCUCCUUCUCCAACUCGCCCCUGCUGAUCUUCUCCAUCACCUACACCAUCUACAGCUGCAAGCCUGAAGAAUGACUGGGAAUUAAUCUUUGAAUCUCUCCCUUCUCUUGCUACUGUACUCUGAAUUUUCUGUAAUAGGAGUGGUGUAGGACUUGUAAGGUUCAGAUUUUGAUAAGUGUUUGCAACCAAUUAGUUUGUUCAGUUCGUACUUGUUAAAUAUUAUGUCAUGAAUUCUAUGUUCUGAAUAGUGGAUUUCUUUUCUUUCG